AACUUUUGACAAUGGAUCACUUGGCUCUCGCAUCGAUGAAGAACUCAGCGAAAUGCGAUAAGUAAUGUGAUUUGCAGUAUUCAGUGAAUCAUCGAAUCUUUGAACGCACCUUGCGCUCUUUGGUAUUCCGAAGAGCAUGCCUGUUUGAGUGUCAUGAAAAUAUCAACCUUGACUUGGGUUUAGUGGUCUUGUCUUGGUUUGGGUUUGGCUGUUUGCCGCUCGAAAGAGUCGGCUCAGCUUAAAAGUAUUAGCUGGAUCUGUUUUUGAGACUUGGUUUGACUUGGCGUAAUAAGUUAUUUCGCUGAGGACAAUCUUCGGAUUGGCCGAGUUUCUGGGACGUUUGUCCGCUUUCUAAUACAAGUUCUAGCUUGCUAGACAUGACUUUUUUAUUAUCUGGCCUCAAAUCAGGUAGGACUACCCGCUGAACUUAAGCAUAUCAAUAAGCGGAGGCU
rnacentral:misc_RNA from 1 species